AGCCUUUUGCUCACCAGACGUUUGUGUCACACGACUGAAUCAAAGAGCAUGAUGAUGGGGCUGAGGGUCACUCAGUACUACAUCUUUGUUAUGAUGUUAACCAAAGGUGUCAGCAGUGAUGAGAUCAGACUGGACCAGUCUCCUGCUGUGGUAAAGAGACCUGGAGAAACUGUGAAGAUCUCCUGUAAGAUAAACGGAUAUUCAAUGACGAGCUACAACAUACACUGGAUCAGACAGAAACCAGGGAAAGCUCUGGAAUGGCUUGGCAGGAUGAGUACAGGCAAUAAUGCAGCAAUAUAUGCAGAGUCUGUGAAGAACCAGCUCACUUUAACAGAAGACGUCUCAGCAAGCACACAGUACUUAGAGGCCAAGAGUCUGAGGACAGAGGACACUGCGGUUUAUUACUGCGCCCGACAAGCCACAGUGACUGGAGCUGAGGAAGCAGCUGUACUAAAACCAGACACACAUUGUAACUGAACUAACUGAAGUUGCUC